AGAAGCAGCCAUACAUUCAAAGAGUGCGUAAUAGCUCACUAGUCGAGAGGUCCUGCGCCGAAAAUGUCCGGGGCUAAAACACGACACCGAAGCUUAGGAAUCGAGAGAUUGGUAGAGGAGCAUUGACAGCGCGCCGAAGCUGUACCGGAAGGCGCAGUGGAGUGCUGUGAAGAGAGAAUGCCGGAAUGAGUAGCGAGAGUAAGGUGAGAAUCCUUACGGCCGAAUAUCCGAGGUUUCCAGAGUAAAGCUGAUCUGCUCUGGGUAAGUCGGGACCUAAGGCGAGGUCGAAAGACGUAGCUGAUGGACAACAGGUUGAAAUUCCUGUACUACGGUAUGAAAGAAAUGUGGGGACGCAUGUGGAGAGCAUGAGCCGGGAAAGGAAAGACCGGUGCAAGCGAGACAGUAGCCAUGCAGGCAAAUCCGUGUGGCAAUACGAAGACGUGACGCGGACCGAAAUAAAGUAGGGAAGCAUGUGAGCCAUGUGCCAAGAAAAGCCGCUAUAGAUCAUACCGUACCCGUACCGUAAACCGACACAGGUAGAUGAGGAGAGAAUCCUAAGGCCGACGGGAGAAGCAUUGUUAAGGAACUCGGCAAAAUGACCCCGUAACUUCGGGAGAAGGGGUGCCCACGCGAGUGGGCCGCAGAGAAUAGGCUCAAGCAACUGUUUAGCAAAAACACAGGUCUAUGCGAAACCGAAAGGUGAGGUAUAUGGGCUGACGCCUGCCCGGUGCUGGAAGGUUAAGAGGAGAUGUUAGCCGCAAGGUGAAGCAUUGAAUUUAAGCCCCAGUAAACGGCGGCCGUAACUAUAACGGUCCUAAGGUAGCGAAAUUCCUUGUCGGGUAAGUUCCGACCCGCACGAAAGGCGUAAUGAUUUGAGCACUGUCUCGACAAUGCACCCGGUGAAAUUGAAGUACCAGUGAAGAUGCUGGUUACCUGCGCCAGGACGGAAAGACCCCAUGGAGCUUUACUCCAGUUUGAUACUGGGAUUCGAUACUGAAUGUACAGGAUAGGUGGGAGGCUGAGAAGCGUGGACGCCAGUCUGCGGUGAGCCGCUGUUGGGAUACCACCCUUUGAGUAUUGGAUUUCUAACCUGCGCCCGUGACCCGGGCGGGGGACAAUGUCUGACGGGGAGUUUGACUGGGGCGGUCGCCUCCGAAAGGGUAUCGGAGGCGCUCAAAGGUUCCCUCAGAAUGGUUGGAAACCAUUCGAAGAGUGCAAAGGCAGAAGGGAGCUUGACUGUGACACCGACGGGUGGAGCAGGUACGAAAGUAGGACUUAGUGAUCCGGUGGUAUGAAAGUGGGAUUGCCAUCGCUCAACGGAUAAAAGCUACCCUGGGGAUAACAGGCUUAUCACUCCCAAGAGUUCACAUCGACGGAGUGGUUUGGCACCUCGAUGUCGGCUCAUCGCAUCCUGGGGCUGUAGUAGGUCCCAAGGGUUGGGCUGUUCGCCCAUUAAAGCGGUACGCGAGCUGGGUUCAGAACGUCGUGAGACAGUUCGGUCCCUAUCCGGCGCAGGCGUAGGAUAUUUGAGAGGAGCUGUCCUUAGUACGAGAGGACCGGGAUGGACAGACCGCUGGUGUAUCUGUUGGUGACCAACACCAUGGCAGAGUAGCCAAGUCUGGCAGGGAUAAACGCUGAAGGCAUCUAAGCGUGAAGCCCCCCUCAAGAUGAGAUAUCCCAAUAAGUAAGACCCCUUAGAGAGUAUGAGGUAGAUAGGCUUAAGGUGU
rnacentral:rRNA from 1 species